rnacentral:rRNA from 1 species
GUGUCAGCAGCCGCGGUAAUACGGAGGGUGCGAGCGUUAAUCGGAAUUACUGGGCGUAAAGCGCAUGCAGGUGGUUAGAUAAGUUGGCUGUGAAAGCCCUGGGCCCAACCGAGGAAGGCCAGCCAAAACUGUCUAACUGGAGUACAGCAGAGGAUAGUGGAAUUUCCGGUGUAGCGGUGAAAUGCGUAGAGAUCGGAAGGAACACCAGUGGCGAAGGCGACUAUCUGGGCUGAGACUGACACUGAGGAGCGAAAGCGUGGGGAGCAAACAGGAUUAGAAACCCUUGUAGUCC